rnacentral:rRNA from 1 species
AUUGAACGCUGGCGGCGUGCCUGACACAUGCAAGUCGGACGGUUCUUGUAUCUUCAAGCUUGCUUGCAGGUGCAAGGAUAGUGGCGGACGGGUGAGUAACGCGUGAACAUCUACCCAUUGGAGGGGGACAACCCGUCGAAAGGCGGGCUAAUACCGCGUAAGCCGCGAGGUGAGAGGCUGCCUAUUGGUGGCCGCCGAUGGAUGGGUUCGCGUCCUAUCAGCUGGUUGGUGGGGUAACGGCCUACCAAGGCGAAGACGGGUAGCCGGUCUGAGAGGAUGGCCGGCCACACUGGAACUGAGACACGGUCCAGACUCCUACGGGAGGCAGCAGUGGGGAAUAUUGGGCAAUGGUCGAAAGACUGACCCAGCCAUGCCGCGUGCAGGAUGAAGGCCCUAUGGGUUGUAAACUGCUUUUAGCCGGGAAUAAACACCGUUUUAUAACGGGCCCGAAGGUACCGGCUGAAUAAGCAUCGGCUAACUCCGUGCCAGCAGCCGCGGUAAACACGAG